rnacentral:rRNA from 1 species
CAGCCGCCGCGGUAAUGCGUAGGUCCCGAGCGUUGUCCGGAUUUAUUGGGCGUAAAGCGAGCGCAGGCGGUUAGAUAAGUCUGAAGUUAAAGGCUGUGGCUUAACCAUAGUACGCUUUGGAAACUGUUUAACUUGAGUGCAAGAGGGGAGAGUGGAAUUCCAUGUGUAGCGGUGAAAUGCGUAGAUAUAUGGAGGAACACCAGUGGCGAAGGCGACUCUCUGGUCUGUAACUGACGCUGAGGAGCGAAAGCGUGGGGAGCGAACAGGAUUAGAUACCCCCGUAGUCCCUGUCUCUUAUACA